UACAGAGGGGGCAAGCGUUGUUCGGAAUUACUGGGCGUAAAGGGCGCGUAGGCGGCCUUCUAAGUCAGACGUGAAAUCCCUCGGCUCAACCGGGGAACUGCGUCUGAGACUGGAAGGCUUGAAUCCGGGAGAGGGAUGUGGAAUUCCAGGUGUAGCGGUGAAAUGCGUAGAUAUCUGGAGGAACACCGGUGGCGAAGGCGGCGUUCUGGACUGUCUCUGACACUGAAGAACGAAAGCCAGGGGAGCAAACGGG
rnacentral:rRNA from 1 species